GCCGACGAGGACGCCUUUGACGGCGUCUUCUGCUUCAUUUGAAUCCCGAGGAAGAAACCAAGUGGCUCUUCCGGCGUCGCCACUUUGUUUUUAAAUUGGCCAAACAACGUACUCGUCCAUGGUCCCACUUAGAUUUGUUGUAUUCGCGGCGUCGUUUUUCACCAUUUUGUUUCAUCUUCAUCUUCGAGCUCGGAAGCAGCACAAAAAGGAUUGCAAAUUUUCCUUUCGUUGCAAUGAGAGCGAGAGGGAGGCAAGAGUUCUGAUCUAACUGCCGCACAGUGGGUCAAGCUUAAACAAUUUUCAAAUUACGGCUAUACAUAUGUAUUAUACACAUUACACAUAUAAUAUAUUAGAUAUAUAUGUAUUGUUGGCAAUAAAACAACACAUGAGAAAAACGGGACAGGAUUGACCGUUUUUUGCCCACUGUGUGGUAUUUGACCAGAUGAACAGCUGCACUUUGACGGUCGCCAUUUCCAACCAGACUUCGACCGCGUUCAGUUUAAUUUUCUGCGAACGUAAUGGAGCUUGAAGAAGUUUUCGCAAGCCACCCACGGAAAAAUAUUGUAUUUCAAAAGAGUUUUAUAUAGAAUCGUAUUGUGUAUAGAAAUGUAGAUCGAGUAAAUGUGA